GUGUUCACAUUGGCAGCACAUGCACUGAAACUGGAAUGAUGCAGAGAUUAGCAUGGCCCCAGUGCAAGAAUGACAGGCAGAUUUGUGAAAUGUUCCUUUUAUUU